AAUAAGAUGAAGUCUGCCAGUACCUCUUGCUAAAAAGCAGUCCCAAAACAUGGCGCCCCCCCAAACAUAACUGUUAGUGUGGUGCUCUUGGGGUUGUGGGCGGUGCCAGUUCCAUUCCAAAUAUGGCGAAGAGAAUGACAUUUCUGCCCGAGUGGGUCUCUUGGAGAACCCCCUCUGAUUGUUCUUUUAUCCCCCCUACAGAGGAACAUUCAGCAUUCCGGGAAUGUGCCUGUAACCGUUCCCAUCCAAAGGUUUUUUAACGGCACCAUUUCAAAGCUCUUGGAUUUUCCCCUGAACCUGCUUAACUGCAUGAAGCUAAGUUCAGCAGAGUCGCAAUACGAAGCACAUAACCAACCACAGAAACAGCCUGGAGGAAUUUUCUCUGUCUGACAUACAAAUGAUGUAUUUAAAUGGGAGUAAGCAGAAAGCCUGUCUACCUCUUUACACCAUAUAAAGGAAUGAACGUCUUCAAUAAAAGGUUAUGGAUUCUGCUCGGCCUUUAGAACUCAGAGAAUGGAUGGAGUCCACUCUGAGGCUUCCACCUGUCCACCUUCAGGGUGUAAUUCAGAAGAAGCCCUGAAGAAGUCCUUCAGGGUCCGUUUAUGGUCUUCCUUUUGCAGAAGAAAGAAGUCCGGCUCACUUCCUUCAGCGGUGGUCUACGGACCGGCUUUCACUGUUUUCUCGUGCGUCAUGUGCUGAUUAGCUAACAUGCAGCAAAGCUAACUAAAGGUCAAAGUGAGGUCAUGACCUCCUUUUUUUCAGCAAAGUGCAGAAUUCUGUCUUCAUCUCUAGCAAACCAGUAGAAAAAUAAACUGCUGUAACGCUUGUGCUAUCUUAGAUGACCCCACCCUUGCAUUUAGGUGUUCUCCCUACCAUGACAAAGGUGGAUA